UGGGGAAUUUUGGACAAUGGGCGAAAGCCUGAUCCAGCAAUGCCGCGUGUGUGAAGAAGGCCUUCGGGUUGUAAAGCACUUUUGUCCGGAAAGAAAUCCUUGGCUCUAAUACAGUCGGGGGAUGACGGUACCGGAAGAAUAAGCACCGGCUAACUACGUGCCAGCAGCCGCGGUAAUACGUAGGGUGCAAGCGUUAAUCGGAAUUACUGGGCGUAAAGCGUGCGCAGGCGGUUUGCUAAGACCGAUGUGAAAUCCCCGGGCUCAACCUGGGAACUGCAUUGGUGACUGGCAGGCUAGAGUAUGGCAGAAGGGGGUAGAAUUCCACGUGUAGCAGUGAAAUGCGUAGAGAUGUGGAGGAAUACCGAUGGCGAAGGCAGCCCCCUGGGCCAAUACUGACGCUCAUGCACGAAAGCGUGGGGAGCAAACAGGAUUAGAUACCCUGGUAGUCCACGCCCUAAACGAUGUCAACUAGUUGUUGGGGAUUCAUUUCCUUAGUAACGUAGCUAACGCGUGAAGUUGCACCGGCUGGGAGUAACGGUCGUCAAAGAUUAAACUUAAAUGAAUUGACGGGGUCAUAGCUGUUUCCU
rnacentral:rRNA from 1 species